AGGGCCUUUGUUGUCUGGUGUGUCCUCACCAUGCUCAGUGCCAUUCUGGGAGCUGCCCCUCUGGCCGCUUCCUGACCCUUCAUGCCCCACCAGUGAAAGGCACUGGACUAGAAAGAAGGUGACUGCAAAGACACUGUGACUCGCGGACCCUGUUCCUGUGUCCUGGGCUCAGGGAUAAAUUUGGUUACAGACACCAAGAAAAGGAAAGAAAAGAAAAAAGAAAUAAAAUGGUGGGCCCUCACAAAAUGUACCAACUGUGCAACAAGACCCAGAGUCUACGUUCUUUCUUAGUGACGGGGCUGCCCCCUUUUUUCUUUUUCAGCAACGAGGGGCUUUGCCUUUGGGGGACCAUGAUGCUGUUCCUGACCUGCGACUUAGACGAUCAAUUCAAGAAGAUAAUCCAAAGGCCUGAUGAUUGUUUUGGUAACCAGACACCAAACAAAUAAGGAAAGAGGACAAAAAAGGAACAAUUUCCCCAGAAGGAAAAUCCAAGGCUUUCACCAGGAGCAGAAGCUGACUACAGUGUAAAUAUCGAAAUAAAAUUGGACAUUCCCUGUUAUUUUUCAUACCUGGAUUGCUGAUUUUUCAAGAUGAGAUACUUGAAGUUUUUCAAUAAAGACUGUUGUAAUACUGAAA